GACUUACCUUCAAUCUGGGCCUCAUCUUACAUCCUUUUUGGUCAAUGAGUCAACCCACCGAUAUAUUCGUACUCAGACUACUCACUGUGAAAAAGUCUCCAAUGGACACCGUGAAAUGGUCCAAUCUUCCCAAGGAGCUCUGGCCGAUCAUCGGAAAAUUCCUCCAUAGCCGCAUCGACGUUCUCCGAUUUCGCAGCGUCUGCUCUAUAUGGCGUUCCUCUCGCCCUCCUUUCCAGCGACCUCCAGCUCCUCCUCGUCCUGCCCUCAGGUUCUCUCCCGCCGCCGCCGGCGAGGCCAAAAGCGAAGCUCUACUCUUCCAAAGCACAACCUAUCGCAUGGAGUCACUGACCGACGACGAUCGUUGUUGUUCUUCACAAUCAAAGCCUUGGUUGAUGCAGCUUGAGGAGGACCUUAAUUCCGGUGAAAUGCGUUUACUACAUCCGGUGACCAAUUCCCCGCUCAGGUACUCCCCUAAUUCUACUUCGAUGGUGUUCAACUUACUGGACUUUCGGCUUGUUGAGUUGCGAAAAUCGCAUGGUCUUAAGUUUGGCAAGAACAAUGUUGAUCUCAAGUCUGUGCACAAAUUGGUAGUCAUGCCUUGUGACCAUUUGGGUUUUGGUGAUGAGUGUGUGAUGUUUAUGCUAUAUAACGAAGGCAAGCUGGGUUUUGCGAGAUUUGGAGAUGAGAAACUGACCCAUGUAGAUGAACAAAACUCUCACUAUGAUGAUAUCAUUGUGUAUAAGGAUCAAUGCUAUGUUGUUGAUAAAUGGGGAACAAUUUCAUGGGUUAGUUCGGCUCUGCAGGUGAUUCAGUUUUCGCCUCCGCUAUGUGGGUUUGGCGGGCGGAAGUAUUUGGUGGAAUGUCGUGAUGAUCUUUAUGUGGUUGAUCAGUUCUUUGAAAAGGUGACUCAGCAGAGCAAUAUAGUAGGGACCCCAUUUCUGGAUAAUGAGUUACUUUGGUGGCAUUAUCAUAAAAUGCGUUCUGAUGCAGAAUCAAUUGAUUUCAAGGCUUAUAAGCUGGAUCAAGAAUGGGGUAAAUGGGUCGAUGUGAAAGACAUGGGAGAUGACAUCUUUAUUUUAAGCAAUGAUGGAUCUUUCUCUGUCUCCGCCAAAGAGUUUGCUGGAGUGAAGGGAAAUUGCAUUUUCUUUACUGAAAGUGCGUUAACUACUGGAAGGUUGUACCCUUGUGUGUUCAAUUUAGAGGAUGGUUUGUUUAGCAAGGCAUCUUUGCGCUGUCCACAAAUGGUCCAUCCACCUUCAAGUUGGCUCAGCCCUGAUUGAAGUUUGUCUGCAUGUUCAGAAUGGAAGUUGGUUACUGCUUAAGACCAUUUGAUUUGCAUUUCUUGGAGAUGGUGACCAACCAAUUCUCAUGAAGAGUGACCUGUGCUUACUCUCCAAGUCUACAUGGCGACCGUGAAAUGGUCUGAUCUUCCCAAGGAGCUUUGGCCCUUCAUCGGAAAAUUCCUCCACAGCCGCAUCGACAUUCUCCGAUUUCGCAGCUCCUUAUGGCGUUCUUCUCACCCUCUUCUCUACCGACCUCCUCCUCCUCUUCUUCUCCCCGUCAGCUCCUCUCCCACCCCCGCCAGGAAAAGAAAAAAGGAAGCCGUACUUUUCAAAAGCACAUGCACUGUAUCGCAUGGAGUCACUCAUCGAUGAAGAUCGCAAUGCUGCACUAUCAAAGCCUUGUUCAUGGUUGAUGAAGGUUGAGGACUUGAGGAGGACCCCAAUUCCGGUAAAAUGUGUUUACUGGAUCUGGUGACUGAUUCACUGGUCAGUCAUGAGUUCAAUCUAUUGGACUUUCGGCUUGUGGAGUUGCGAAAGUCAUAUGUUCUUAAAGAUACCGAGUAUGUCUGUUUUCCUGUUGAUUCUGUACAAAAAGUGGUGGUUAUGACUGAUGAGCAUUUGGACAUUGAUAAUGUGUAUGCGGUAUUUAUGAUUUUUAAGAGAGGGAAUCUGGGUUUUGUGAGGGUUGGGGAUGAGAACUUGAUCAAUGUCGAUGAACAAAACUCGGAUUAUCGUGAUAUCAUCAUUUACAAGGGUCAAUGCUAUGUUGUUGAUUAUUGGGGGAUAAUUUCAUGGGUCAAUUCAGCUUUGGAGGUGAUUCAGUUUUCGCCUCCGAUAUGUGGGUCUGGAGGGCAGAAGCAUUUGGUGGAAUCAUCUUUACGUGGUUGUUCAGUACGGUGCAACGUUGACUUGCCAGGGCAAUAGGAGAGUUAGGUACUCACACCAAGAGGAUGAAUAUCCUGAAGCAAUUGGUUUUAAAGUUUAUAAGCUGGAUCAAGAAUGGGGUAAUUAUAAAUGGGUCAAUGUGAAAGACUUGGGAGAUCGAGUGUUUAUUUUAAGCAAUGAUGGGUCUUUCUCUGUCUCCACCAGAGAGUUUGCUGGAGUGAAAGGAAAUUGCAUUUUCUUCAUUGCACGAGCAUCAGCAAGGUGUUACAGUUGUGUGUUCAGUUUGGAGGAUGGUAGGAUUAGGAACCUAGCAUCUUCGGAGUGUUCUCAGAUGGUCCAGCCACCUUCAAAUUUGCUCAACCCCAAUUGAAGUGUGUCUGCAUGCUCUGAAUGGGAAGUUGGUCACUGCUUAAGACCAUUUGAUUUGCCUUUCUUGGACAUGAUGGAAGAUCCAAUUCUCAUGAAGAGUGAAUUGUAAC